rnacentral:lncRNA from 1 species
ACACACCAAAAAGCUCACAACAUCAAUAGUACACUUUUUUUUUAUAUACACAUAAAAUGCUCCAGAUUUAUACAUGAUAAUGAAAUCCACUUGACAUGCCACGUCCAAGAAAGAAAAAGGGCGACCUCCUGCUGACCUACCUGACACAAUGCUAGUGCGACAGAUGCAAAUGUUUCGUCAAAACCAAUUAUAAUUCUUCUAAUCCUGAAAAAGAAAUAAUGCAGAGGAGUGAGCCUGCAACUCAGCAAAAGAAUAACAUAAUUUCCUAUGAAAAAUAACACAAUCAAACGUGUAGUAUUAUCAAACAUCAAACCAUUCGAUAUUUAAUUAUAACUUUAUAGUGUUUACAUAAACCUUGUCAUAGUAUUUUCUUCAGGAUAGCAAUGAACUUGUGAAUUACAUUUAAUUCCAUAAUAAUAUAUAUAUAUAUUUAUUUUUAUGGAUCCCCAUACACACACAGCCAACCAUAAUCUUAUGGGGAAUUCCAUAUCGCACACAGCCUUGCCUGAUUCACAAGUAGUAUUGCGUCCUUACAAUCAUCCAACCAUAAUUCUUAUAUAUAUAUAUAUAUAUAUAUAUAUAUAUAUAUAUAUAUAUAUAUAUAUACCAUUUAAAUAACUAACAUCUCCAUAAUAUAUAAGAAACCAUAAUAAUAACUAUGAUAUACCAAAAACAUACCAUAUUCCAACAUGGCAGAUUUAAUAGUGUGCAUUCAGAAAUACACCAAAAAUUUCACAUUAGGAAUUCCAAAACCAUAUUCUCCAGAUCAGUAAUAUUAUAAGUCUAGAUUAAUUUAAAACUGAUUUUACAUCAAAUGGAUGUGUAUAGAAAGAGAAACAUCAAAAACAUUCUACCAUAGUCAAGCUGUCAAUAAAAUUAAGCAACAGAAAGUAUGAUCCAGAUUGGCCAUCAAAACAGCAAAAUCAAGCUUCCUCUAUUUUUAUAACAUUUGUAAAUUACAUUUCAAAUUUUUUAUAGCAAUAAGUAGCACUCCAUUUGGAUUUAUAAAACUCUAGAUAUGGCUAAAUUAAAUAUACUGUUCACAUUAUAACAGGACACUCGAAUUCACCAUUCAACAUUCAUAUAGAACAUUAAGUUAUUCACUUACCUUUGUUGCUCCCUUCCCUUUGCUUGAGCUUACUUGGGUGUCACCCUCAUUCCAAAUUCGUUUAGCUGAAAUAGAUCAUAAUUCAUUUAUUUUUAAACACUCAAAGUUAAUAGAAUUUCAUAUAGCAUGAUAACAUCACUAAACUCUCUACAUCUGUGUGGCUGCCAACUAUUACAGAAUUAAUAGGGUGAAUUUAAAAAUCCACCAAAACUUCUAUACAAUAAAUUUCAUAAUGAAACUUUCCAGAUCACUAACCUUAUGUGUCUAAUAUAAUUUAAAACUGAUUUUGUUUCAAUUGGAGGUGUAUAGAGAAAUAUCCGUACAAAACAAUCCACUUUACUCAAACCAAAGAUGGAAACUGAACAAUAAAAUGUAUUCUCUUAUUAUAAUAACAUAGAUCCUAAUUCAGAUCGAGCUAAAGAAAUAAAAGUUUUAGAUAACUCUUUAAAGUUUCUAUAUCAUUAAAGAACACUCAAUUUAAAGCUUCCUAGCUCAAGAUAUGAUCAAAACAAUAAGACUGAAAAACUAGGUCUUUAGAACUCGAUUUCUAUGUCUUCUAAACCCUAACUCAAUUCAACAAAAUAUUAAAAUUACUUACCAAAUAAACCUCUAAAGCCUUUGUAGAUGAAGAUUAAGAUCAAAAAUGGAUUCUAAACCUCCAAAUUCCACUUGAAAAUUCAUUUUUCUCUUUUUUGAAGAAGAAGAAGAAGAAGAAGAAAGAAAGAAAGAAAGAAGAAGGAAGAAGAAGGAAGAAGAAC